rnacentral:lncRNA from 1 species
CACAGUAAAAGUGUUGUUCACUUCUGUUCCUCUUUUUAUUUUUCUCCCAGGGAUGGCGAGCCACUUUUCAUAAAGAAUCAACCAACUGGCUUUCUUAUCUACAAUCGAUGAGAAUGACCACCGGCUGAAGAAGAGUGACCUCAGAG